UGGAAAGGCGCGCGAUACAGGGUGACAGCCCCGUACACAAAAAUGCACAUGCUGUGAGCUCGAUGAGUAGGGCGGGACACGUGGUAUCCUGUCUGAAUAUGGGGGGACCAUCCUCCAAGGCUAAAUACUCCUGACUGACCGAUAGUGAACCAGUACCGUGAGGGAAAGGCGAAAAGAACCCCGGCGAGGGGAGUGAAAAAGAACCUGAAACCGUGUACGUACAAGCAGUGGGAGCACGCUUAGGCGUGUGACUGCGUACCUUUUGUAUAAUGGGUCAGCGACUUAUAUUCUGUAGCAAGGUUAACCGAAUAGGGGAGCCGAAGGGAAACCGAGUCUUAACUGGGCGUUAAGUUGCAGGGUAUAGACCCGAAACCCGGUGAUCUAGCCAUGGGCAGGUUGAAGGUUGGGUAACACUAACUGGAGGACCGAACCGACUAAUGUUGAAAAAUUAGCGGAUGACUUGUGGCUGGGGGUGAAAGGCCAAUCAAACCGGGAGAUAGCUGGUUCUCCCCGAAAGCUAUUUAGGUAGCGCCUCGUGAAUUCAUCUCCGGGGGUAGAGCACUGUUUCGGCAAGGGGGUCAUCCCGACUUACCAACCCGAUGCAAACUGCGAAUACCGGAGAAUGUUAUCACGGGAGACACACGGCGGGUGCUAACGUCCGUCGUGAAGAGGGAAACAACCCAGACCGCCAGCUAAGGUCCCAAAGUCAUGGUUAAGUGGGAAACGAUGUGGGAAGGCCCAGACAGCCAGGAUGUUGGCUUAGAAGCAGCCAUCAUUUAAAGAAAGCGUAAUAGCUCACUGGUCGAGUCGGCCUGCGCGGAAGAUGUAACGGGGCUAAACCAUGCACCGAAGCUGCGGCAGCGACGCUUAUGCGUUGUUGGGUAGGGGAGCGUUCUGUAAGCCUGUGAAGGUGUGCUGUGAGGCAUGCUGGAGGUAUCAGAAGUGCGAAUGCUGACAUAAGUAACGAUAAAGCGGGUGAAAAGCCCGCUCGCCGGAAGACCAAGGGUUCCUGUCCAACGUUAAUCGGGGCAGGGUGAGUCGACCCCUAAGGCGAGGCCGAAAGGCGUAGUCGAUGGGAAACAGGUUAAUAUUCCUGUACUUGGUGUUACUGCGAAGGGGGGACGGAGAAGGCUAUGUUGGCCGGGCGACGGUUGUCCCGGUUUAAGCGUGUAGGCUGGUUUUCCAGGCAAAUCCGGAAAAUCAAGGCUGAGGCGUGAUGACGAGGCACUACGGUGCUGAAGCAACAAAUGCCCUGCUUCCAGGAAAAGCCUCUAAGCAUCAGGUAACAUCAAAUCGUACCCCAAACCGACACAGGUGGUCAGGUAGAGAAUACCAAGGCGCUUGAGAGAACUCGGGUGAAGGAACUAGGCAAAAUGGUGCCGUAACUUCGGGAGAAGGCACGCUGAUAUGUAGGUGAAGUCCCUCGCGGAUGGAGCUGAAAUCAGUCGAAGAUACCAGCUGGCUGCAACUGUUUAUUAAAAACACAGCACUGUGCAAACACGAAAGUGGACGUAUACGGUGUGACGCCUGCCCGGUGCCGGAAGGUUAAUUGAUGGGGUUAGCCGCAAGGCGAAGCUCUUGAUCGAAGCCCCGGUAAACGGCGGCCGUAACUAUAACGGUCCUAAGGUAGCGAAAUUCCUUGUCGGGUAAGUUCCGACCUGCACGAAUGGCGUAAUGAUGGCCAGGCUGUCUCCACCCGAGACUCAGUGAAAUUGAACUCGCUGUGAAGAUGCAGUGUACCCGCGGCAAGACGGAAAGACCCCGUGAACCUUUACUAUAGCUUGACACUGAACAUUGAGCCUUGAUG
rnacentral:rRNA from 1 species